CUAUGCGCCUUGCCAGCCCGCUCAGGUGUGCCAGCCGCCGCGGUAAUACGGAGGAUGCGAGCGUUAUCCGGAUUUAUUGGGUUUAAAGGGUGCGUAGGCGGGCUUUUAAGUCAGCGGUAAAAAUUCGGGGCUCAACCCCGUCGUGCCGUUGAAACUGAUGUUCUUGAGUGGGCGAGAAGUAUGCGGAAUGCGUGGUGUAGCGGUGGAAUGCAUAGAUAUCACGCAGAACUCCGAUUGCGAAGGCAGCAUACCGGCGCCCGACUGACGCUGAGGCACGAAAGCGUGGGGAUCGAACAGG
rnacentral:rRNA from 1 species